CCCUUAGACGUUCUGGGCCGCACGCGCGCUACACUGAUGCAUUCAACGAGUGUACCUUGGCCGAGAGGCCUGGGCAAUCUUUUGAACGUGCAUCGUGAUAGGGAUAGAUUAUUGCAAUUAUUAAUCUUGAACGAGGAAUUCCUAGUAAACGCAGAUCAUCAAUCUGCAUUGAUUACGUCCCUGCCCUUUGUACACACCGCCCGUCGCACCUACCGAUUGGAUGGUCCGGUGAAGCCUCGGGAUUGUGGCGGUUGCCUUUAUUGGUGGCCGCCGCGAGAACUUGUCUAAACCUUAUCAUCUAGAGGAAGGUGAAGUCGUAACA
rnacentral:rRNA from 1 species